rnacentral:misc_RNA from 1 species
GAUGAAGAACGUAGCGAAAUGCGAUAAGUAAUGUGAAUUGCAGAAUUCAGUGAAUCAUUGAAUCUUUGAACGCACAUUGCGCCCCCUGGUAUUCCGGGGGGCAUGUCUGUCCGAGCGUCAUUACAACCCUCAAGCUCAGCUUGGUGUUGGGCCCCGCCGCCCCGGCGGGCCCUAAAGUCAGUGGCGGUGCCGUCCGGCUCCGAGCGUAGUAAUUCUUCUCGCUCUGGAGGUCCGGUCGUGUGCUCGCCAGCAACCCCCAAUUUUUUUCAGGUUGACCUCGGAUCAGGUAGGGAUACCCGCUGAACUUAAGCAUAUCAAUAAGCGGAGGA